rnacentral:rRNA from 1 species
UACAGAGACUGCAAGCGUUAUUCGGAUUCACUGGGCGUAAAGGGUGCGCAGGCGGUUGUGUGUGCCAGGUGUGAAAGCCCGGGGCUUAACCCCGGAAUUGCGCCUGAAACUACAUGACUAGAGCAUUGGAGAGGGUAGCGGAAUUCACGGUGUAGCAGUGAAAUGCGUAGAUAUCGUGAGGAACACCAGAGGCGAAGGCGGCUACCUGGACAAUUGCUGACGCUCAGGCACGAAAGCGUGGGGAGCAAAAGGG